CACAGCAACUAUCAAAAAGAUCCCAAACAUAAAAACGAGCUCCUAGCCACAUACAGAGCUACACUAUAAUGAUAGAAGAACUUAUGCUAAAACUAGUAACAAGAAAUAUUCUCUCACAGCACAAACAUGAACCAGCAAUAGAAAAACUACUGAAGAUUAACAGACCAAAAAAGGAAGGGCAACCAAAAGCAAAGCCUGCCCUUUAAACUGUCAAACCGACACCGGAGUGCUAAAUAGAAAGAUUAAAAGCCACACAAGGAACUCAGCAAAAUCUGUCCCAACUGUUUACCAAAAACAUAGCCUUUAGCCAAACUAGUAUUAAAGGUCCCGCCUGCCCAGUGAUACAUUUUAACGGCCGCGGUAUCCUAACCGUGCAAAGGUAGCGUAAUCACUUGUCUCCUAAAUAGAGACCAGUAUGAACGGCUAAAUGAGGACAGGCCUGUCUCCUGUGGCCAAUCAGUGAAACUGAUCCUCCAGUACAAAAGCUGGAAUAUAAACAUAAGACGAGAAGACCCUGUGGAGCUUCAAACACCCACUAACAAGCAUUCCUGCCCCUAGUGUAAAGUUUUAAGUUGGGGCGACUUCGGAGCAAAACGAAACCUCCGAGAACAGAGCCACACACUCUUACCGAGGCCUACAAGCCAAAGUUAAAACAACAGACCCAGUAAUACUGAUCAACGAACCAAGUUACCCCAGGGAUAACAGCGCUAUCUUCUUCAAGAGUCCAUAUCGACAAGAAGGUUUACGACCUCGAUGUUGGAUCAGGACACCCAAAUGGUGCAGCCGCUAUUAAUGGUUCGUUUGUUCAACGAUUAACAGU
rnacentral:rRNA from 1 species